GUCAGGAAGUAUAUAAAAACGUGUGACAAAAUCCUCUUUACUGCAUUUCAAGAGUGGGGAAAGAAUCAUUUUAUGAAAGGAUUUAAAGAUUGGUUUAAAUCAGAAUAAGCAUUUGGACUGCUUGGGAUUUUUAUUUCGGUCAUUGCUCUUAUUUCUGCCAUCCUCAAGAUACGUUUCAAGGACCGAGUUUUCGUGCUAAUCAUUGUGAUCAUCUUGUCCUUUUUGAGCGCUGUGUGCACCAUGGUGUCCAUUGCUGUUUAUGCAGGAAAAUAUGAAUCGCAAAAAUACAGCAAUUUUGUCAAAUUCAGCUUUGCAUUUGCUUUUUGUGCAGUUUCCAUCGUUCUCUCGGCCAUAGCUGGAAUUUGCAUGAUUAUUGAAUUGUCAAAAAGGUCAUCUUACACUACAAAUAGUUGGGCGCUGAGAAAGCACCAAUUUAGGACUGCCAUAUUGAAAAAAAAUAAUGUUUUUACAUAUAUGAGGACUAACACAUUACUAUUACAAUGUUCAUAACUUUAUAAACAUUCAACGAAUUCAUUUCAAUAUGUUCCUGAUAAUAGGGAAUUCUAAAGGACAUAUGCAAUUUUAAUGUCUUUUUUCCCUGGAGUUGAAGAGCUCCAAUAUCUAAGGAACCUGUGUGCUACAUUUCAUUGUCCAUAUAAUUAUGCAUGUUAAUUAUACAAACGAAACAACUGUCAGCGAUCGAACCAACCGCAACUCGUUCUCGGACGUAGCGAAAAACAACACAAACAAAUGGACAACGUCGCCGAUGCAGCCACCUCAUAGUUGUGCCUAGACGUUCCCUAUCAUGUUUCAACCCGUUGUGUCAUAAAAUUAAACAAUUCAUUAGGCAAAUGCGUUUACAGACUUAAAUAGUCAGUUCUCAGAUUUAACAAUCAAAGCCAAUUAAUUAAAUUUUAAUGAAUUAUUAUUAUAAAGUACAGUGUAUGUAAUUCACUUAUUACUGACCUUUGUGCAGAAUUUAUUUAUAUCAUUCUUUAAUGUUGCAUGUCAUUAUGUUGUCUUAAAUCCUCUUAUAUUGUCAUGUUUUGUUUGGGAAUACAUUAAUUUGUGUAGAUUAGUCCCUUCCAAUUCAGAUUUGCAUAGAAGACUUUCUUGUGCUUUUGUUAGUCUCUUUUCUGUACAUGUUCAUAUUCCAUUUGUUAUUCCUUUUUAUUUUGUGUUUGUGUUAUACUUUCUAUUAUUUUUUGUUAACAUUUUGAACUAUGCAUUACAUCAAAAAUUUCUUAGUCAUGCAAACAAAUAUGUUUUAAUUGCAUGACAUACAGUUAUAGUUAUAUUUAAGGAGAGAAACUCGUAAGUUGAAAGAACUUGUUUCCGUUCCAUUUGAUUUAUUUCGAUGAAAUAUGAUCAAAACAAUUAUAAUUGUACACUUCCUCUAAACCAAGUUUGGUUUAACAAAACAUCUAGAAUAUAUGUUUAGUAAUUUUUGAAUAUUUUUCUUUGCAUUAUACAAGAAUUUUCAUCAAUUGAUAUCUUUCCAAAACCCCUGGUAAUGCAUGCUGAUCUUUUGUCUACAAGCAUUCGCUAGAACUAUAAUCUUACAUUAGAACAUUAGUAGAAAAAUUCUUUAAACAGUGUUUAUAAAUUUUAUUGUUUAUAAGAGAUACAAUGAUAAAUUUCAACUCCUUACCAUAUAUA